UUCGGAUUGUAGGCUGCAACUCGCCUACAUGAAGCUGGAAUUGCUAGUAAUCACAGGUCAGCAUACUGUGGUGAAUACGUUCCCGGGCCUUGUACACACCGCCCGUCACACCAUGAGAGUUGAGAAUACCCGAAGUCCAUGUCAAAGUGGCCGAAGGUAGGCUUGAUGAUUGGGGUGAAGUCGUAACAAGGUAUC
rnacentral:rRNA from 1 species